rnacentral:rRNA from 1 species
GACGAACGCUGGCGGCGUGCUUAAUACAUGCAAGUUGAGCGCUGAAGGUCGGUACUCGUGCUGACUUGAUGAGCAGCGAACGGGUGAGUCAUGCGUGGGGUGUCCGUCUCUCUGCGGUGGGCCACAUUUGGAAACGAAUGCUAAUACCGCAUGAGAACUUUAAACACUAGUUGUAAGUUUGAAAGAUGCAAUUGCGUCACUCAAACAUGAUCCCGCGUUGUAUUAGCAGGUUGGUGUGGUAAAGGCUCAUCAAGGCGAGGAUACAUAGCCGACCGGAGAGGGUGAUCGGCCACACUGGGACGGUGACACGGCCCAAACUGCUACAGGAGGGAGCAGUAGGGCAUCUGCGGGAAUGGGCGAAAGUCUGUGCGAGCAACGCCGAAUGAGUGAAGAAGGUUUUCGGAUCGUAAAUCUCUGUUGGUGGGGAGGAACGUUGGUGCGGGUGGAAAGCUCAUCAAGUGACGGUAACUACACAGAAAGCGACGGCUAACUACGUG